rnacentral:rRNA from 1 species
AUUGAACGCUGGCGGCAGGCCUAACACAUGCAAGUCGAGCGGAUGAAGGGAGCUUGCUCCUGGAUUCAGCGGCGGACGGGUGAGUAAUGCCUAGGAAUCUGCCUGGUAGUUGGGGAUAACGUCCGGUAACGGGCGCUAAUACCGCAUACGUCCUGAGGUAGAAAGUGGGGGAUCUUCGGACCUCACGCUAUCAGAUGUGCCUAGGUCGGAUUAGCUAGUUGGUUGGGUAAAGGCCUACCAAGGCGACGAUCCGUAACUGGUCUGAGAGGAUGAUCAGUCACACUGGAACUGAGACACGGUCCAGACUCCUACGGGAGGCAGCAGUGGGGAAUAUCGGACAAUGGGCGAAAGCCUGAUCCAGCAAUGCCGCGUGUGUGAAGAAGGUCUUCGGAUUGUAAAGCACUUUAAGUUGGGAGGAAGGGCAGUAAGUUAAUACCUUGCUGUUUUGACGUUACCAACAGAAUAAGCACCGGCUAACUUCGUG